UGGGGAAUUUUGGACAAUGGGGGAAACCCUGAUCCAGCCAUCCCGCGUGUGCGAUGAAGGCCUUCGGGUUGUAAAGCACUUUUGGCAGGAAAGAAACGUCAUGGGUUAAUACCCCGUGAAACUGACGGUACCUGCAGAAUAAGCACCGGCUAACUACGUGCCAGCAGCCGCGGUAAUACGUAGGGUGCAAGCGUUAAUCGGAAUUACUGGGCGUAAAGCGUGCGCAGGAGGUUCGGAAAGAAAGAUGUGAAAUCCCAGAGCUCAACUUUGGAACUGCAUUUUUAACUACCGGGCUAGAGUGUGUCAGAGGGAGGUGGAAUUCCGCGUGUAGCAGUGAACUGCGUAGUUAUGCGGAGGAACACCGAUGGCGAAUGCAGCCUCCUGGGAUAACACUGACGCUCAUGCACGAAAGCGUGGGGAGCAAACAGG
rnacentral:rRNA from 1 species